rnacentral:lncRNA from 1 species
UACGAAAAUAGUGUAGCGCAUUUCGGUGAAAAAAAAAAUGAUAUCGGGUGGCUGACGAACGUUUCCUGAAAACACUGCGUGCCAUCGGGCGAUUAACUCGAGGAAAAAUUGGCCUCACCGCGGGAAAAAAAAGUGGGCGUCGCAGCCGAUGAACUCUGCUCGUUUCUUUUCGCCUCGGGCCUUUUAACGAUUUCGCGCCCAGACUCUUCUCUCUUCCUCUCUUUCUCUCUCGAAUGCGAAGCUCGACGCUUCAUGACGAAGAUUCCCCAAGCUUUGGACUAAAAUUCUCCAACGGACACGCGAUAACAGCCAGUGUGUGUUACACGAUAAUCGCGAACGUUACGCCUAUGGUGGAAUUAAACGGUUUGCGGUUUCGUAUAAUCCAUUAUACAAGCCAUUGAUGAUGCAGUGUGAAUCUGGUAACGGAAUAACAAGGUAACGGAGAUCCGGGAUUUCACGUGGCAGACAGUCUGAGCUUGGAAUUCGUGGAACAAGUGGCCCGAACAAUAAUGCUCGUAUGCGUACGCAUAUUUGUUUCCGCUCCCUUUGAGACGAAAUUGCUCGAGAAGAACGCGCUUCUCAGACGUUCGUCAAUUCUCUUUUUCUAUUUCUUUCUUUCUUUUUUCAACAAACUCGAGCAGUGUGCACAGAGAAAGAGAAAAAAACUAGGACAAGACGUAGCUCUUUUCUUCUAAGAGUAAAGAUGAUUGGUCGAGAAAAUUAUUUAUAGUUCUCAAUCGUAACGAGAGAAGGCGCAACGAGUACAGAACGAAUCGGCAAAGAAAAUAAGAAACAUGGCGAAUCAUUGGAAUCCAUUUGAUUUCUUCGGGUGAAUGUUACAAAGAAAAAAAUAAUUUGCGUUCUUUUGUCUCGUUGGAUGAAUUAGAAAAGUGAAUUCAAAUAUAUAUAUAUAUAUGUUGAAAUGUGAAUAUCAAUUAUAAUUAGUUACUAUAUAUAACAGUGUUGUGAAAAAUGAGAAGAAACUUUCGAAUGUUUUCUGAACGCGAGAUAUCCAACGGCUCAUUUUUUUCGCAUCGGUCGAUCAACGAAUUUGUGCCUUCUGUUUUAAUUACCUCGAGUGAAAUUCUCUGUGCAUCGCUACAAACAAAGGAAUCAAGUCAAUAUCAUUGUAUAGGAUGGAUCAUGCUGUUCCACUCGUGAAGGAUUUUCGGCCAUACGAUAUAUUCCACUUUCACGAUUGCGUGUAAGCGAAAUGAUAUUUCUAUUUUUCACUCGGGAGGGAGAAAAGAAGGAGAAGAAAAUUCAAAGAAGCCAUUUGUCGAUUCGAUUCGAAAAUUUAUGUAUUGUACUCGGGAGGAAGAAUCGACACAAGCUGCUGCAUUUGCGGCCAAUAAACUAAAGAGGACUCGAAGGCAAGGGCAGUUAAGACAGUAACCCUCUCCCUUGGUAUGAAAAUCGAAGGGAACGAAGAGAGAGAGAAUCAUCGAAUUUUACGACGUCGUAUCGAUGCAAUAUUCGUCGUGGAUGGCUCGUGGAAAUAUCUUUGGAUGGCGGAGCCGCGUCCUUCCCUAAAGUCUCUCGCUUUAAAGCGAAAGGGAGGGCCGUUAAAUGCGAAAAUAGGGUAAACUUCUCGUCAACGCGUACCGUCUUGAUUCGAAAAUAUCCCGAGGCGGGGAGAGGAGGGGGUGGCGAUGUUCGAUGCAAGAGGCGAGAAACGGCGGAAUCAAAUAAAUAUACAAUCAGAAAAAGGAGGGAGGGAGGGAGGGAGGGCGGUUCUACUUUGAACGAAUGCUCGGCUCGACCCCAACCCUCUUCGACUAAAUUUAUCCUCCCCCGUGUUUGCUCGCCGACUAUUUAUUUUCUACAUUUAUGGAAUAUCUGAACUGUAAGCUUCUAGCCUCGACUAAACAAACCGUAAAGCGCGUUUAAAACGUGUUGGAAUAUAUGCGUCUCUGACAAUGUUGUUGUCUCGUGUCCGCUUUUUAAUUAACAAUUAACGAUUUUUCGAGUAACGUUCGUUCGAGUUUGAGUGUGAAAUAUCGUUUUAAGCGAGGGGGAGUUUUUUUUAAUUAUUUUAAAUAUUUUAAAAGAACGUUGAUAAUAUAGAAAUCAGUAUUUUAGAAAAUAGUAAUGAAUCUAAAACGUCUUUAGUUUAUUUAGAAAAUUUUAAAAGCAAAAAGAAAAAGAACUAUUAUAAAUUAAAGAAUUGGAAAAUUUGAAUUAUAGAAAAAUUAGAUUGAAAUAACAUAAAUUGAAUUAAGAUAAUUUUUUAAUAAUAAUCUGCAUUAUGAUUAAUUAGUUAAAAGAAAUCAUCCCUCAUAAAUUAUUUUAUUUUAAAAAUAUCUUUUCAAAAUUUCUAUAAAAUUUUAUGGUAAAAGGAAUAAUAAUUAUUCCAUUACAGAUUUAAUAUUACAUUGCUUAAUUUUCCCCAAGAAUUAUUUUCCCACCAAUUUUUCACAAUGGAAAAACUUCUUUCUCGUUCCCAAAGUUUUCAUCAUCGUCCGUCAAAAAUUUAAUUUUUCAUAACAAAUUUCAAUAUCAUUUUAAAAGCUUGCAAACAAAUAAUCCUCAUGACCUAAUUCCACCCAAUAAAUCCAAAAAAAAAAAAAAGAAAGAAAGGAAAAAAGUAGAUGAAUAACAUCAAUUUGUAUAAAACGUUUCUCCACGAAUAAUACUCGAAAGUGUAUGUUCUUACUAGGUAACUACCCUAAAUAAUUUCCAACCUCGAGGAGGAGAUGGAAAGCAAUGGAAAAUAAUGGCGAUCUCGAAAUUGGAGGGGAAAAAAAAACAAGGAGCGGAAAAUCGUAUGCGCACGCCUUGUAAAAAUAUCCAGGAGGAUCUCGGGGAGAUUAGUUAACAAGAUUACUUACGACUGUCAGCGCUCUGUAAGCAAGUUUCUGAAUAGGGCGGGUAUGGCGGGUUGUGGCGCGGAUGAUCUACUAUGCAGUCAGCCAGCCAUGUCAACGAUAUACAUUCAGCGCCCGGCAGCCGUGGCGCAAGUAGGGCUGCAAUGUCUGCGAAACGGUAAUGGAACGGCAAACGACCUGGGAUUUACCCCUUGGAACAUUCUAACAAAGCUCUAGGCCACCGCAGCAGCCACCUACCACGAAGAAGAGAGGGGAAAAAAAAAAAAAAAAUUGGACACGGUGAGAUGCGCUAUCUUCGAUUCGAGUGGAUCGAGUUAAUCCUGUCGAGAUGAAUUUUAAAUCUUCGCUAAUCUCCGCUCGCUUCCGUGAUCGUCGAUUUCGACGAUCAAUCGAAAAUGCGAGAGCAAUUAAUGUAAAUGUGACAUGAUACAUUUUAUUGGAUAUAUAAUUAUAGAUGUACAAUUUAUUUGUAUAUUGAAAAGUUAUAAAAAUAAUGAAAGGAUUUCAAUAAUGUGUUUGUAACGUGUUGCAAUAAAAUUGCAAUUCUUUCUAGGAUAUAUAAAAUCUAUUGAAAAGUUAUAAAAAUAAUAAAAGGAUUUCAAUAAUGUGUUUGUAAUGUGUUGCAAUAAAAUUGCAAUUAUUUCUAAUAUAUAUAUACAAUUUAUUUGUAUAUUGAAAAGUUAUAAAAAUAAUAAAAGGAUUUGUUAUUUCUAGUGUGGACAUAAAAUUGAUAAAAUCUUGGAGAAGGGAUUAAGGAUCUUUUGUUGAGUUUCGUGAAAACAUAAGAAUAAUAAUAUGUGAUAUAAUUUGUGGACAUACUUUGAUAAAAUCUUCGAGAAGGGGUUAAGGAUGUUUCAUCGAGUUUCGUGAAAAUAUAAGAAUAAUAAUAUAUGAUAUAAUUUGUGGACUUUGAUAAAAUCUUCAAGAAGGGAUUAAGGAUGUUUUAUUGAGUUUGUGAUAUAAUUAUAAGUAUUUUUCUAUUUUCGAAAGAGAUAAAAUAUUUGAGAAACGAAUAAAGAAAAUGGAAAUUUCUCUCGCGUGUAAGUUUUCAAAUAUUGGAUAAAUUUUGCGAAAAGACUCUCCAAGGUGCCAUACUCUCUUUACGCCCGAGCUGACAUAGAUAACGGUCUAAAAGCCUCGCGAGGUGAAGUCGACGAUAUGACGGCCACGAAAGAGCUCGUAAAAAUCGCUAACGGAAUUAAUGGCCUCGAUGGCCGUGAAGACGAGGAGGAGCAACAACGUCGUUAAAAAAUCCAUCCAGUGACGACGGACCAACGUUUCGAACGUCAAUUAUGUUUUCGCACGUCGAAAGGAGAACAUUUUUCGAAGGGUUGGCGAACUUUGUUCGCGGUGGUAAUCCGUUUUAAAUCGACAGGGUAGGGGGGAGGGAGGGGUGAAAAGUUGCGGAGAAAAAUGUCGCAGCGUCGACGAGAUGGAAUUGAAUUCGGUCGAAUUCAGAACGCCUUGUACUAGGGAGCUUCGAGGUAUUUCGAGGUACACGUAGGAAUAUAGGGAAUCACCUUGGGAGAUAUUUUUCGGGGGAGGGAAAACUAUAGUGAUGACGCGUGUUGUUGGAAUCUACUUAUUUAGAGUACAAGUAUGUCGAUAACAUAGUAAUUUUCAACUCUCAAUGUAGUGUCUAUUUUAAUAGGAAAUAAUUCUUGAAAAUAAUUUUUGCUUGAAGAAAGUUUUGCUUUCAAAUGUAUUUAAUUAAGGAUUGUUAAUCUUGGAUGGUUGCAUUCAACGUCUAUGUCUACUGUUUGAAGAAACUUUUCAAGAGCAACAAUUUUAAUUUUAAUUUUAAUUUUAAUUUUAAUUUUUCUCAAAUGUAUUUGUAUUAUAAGGUUAGACAAGUUUUGCAAGUUUUAAAGUUUUAAAGUUUGAGUUAAAUUGCAUUGUAUUAUGGUAAAGUUUUUAGUUUACUUGGUAUUUAUGUUAGCAAAAGUGAUAAUUUUGAAAUAGAAGGAAUGAUGUGUCAACGAUCUUUGCGAUGUAGGAUCCAAUUUCCUUGUUUAAUUAUUAUAGUUACGUUGAUCGUGGUUAGUAUUUGGAUGGAUGCCAUUUGGAAAGUCCGUGUGUUGAUAUCAAAAUGUUUCUUAAACUAUAAACUUCGGCUAAUGAUUGCAUUGAUUAUGAUAAUCGAUAUUGGUUACACAACGAAUAACAAACAAAUAGCAAAUAAUAAUUUUGCCAGCAGAGGGAUCCAAUGAUUGCAAUUUGAUAAUCAAGUUAAUACUUAAUUGUGUACAGUAGCUCGAAAUCCACUUUAAACCACUUUAGAGUUUCAACUAAUAAUUACAACAGUAGAUUAAAUACCAAAUAACAAACAAAUAUCAAAUAAUAAUUUUGCCACGUAGAAAUCCACUGAUUCCAAUAUAAUAACCAAAGUUAAACUACAUUGGUCACGGUUAAUACUUGGUUGAUAUAUUGUUUAAUAAUGACUCGGAACUCAUUUAUCUAACAACAACGUUAAAUAAUGAACAACAAUAAUAUUUACUUUCGUCUGACAGUUUCAAGAAAAAUAUAAAAAUAACACUGUAUCUACAUUGUAUGCGAUAAGUUAUAAUAUUUGAAACGAUUAUGUAGAGAAAUAUGUAAUCAAAAUUUAAUUACAUUGAUCAUUUGAUUAAUAUAUAAUUGGCAAUAAUUCAGAACUAUCUUUAAUUUAACAAAUACAUUGAAUAACGAACAACAAAUAAAACACGGAUACUUAUAAAUUCUAA